rnacentral:lncRNA from 1 species
UCUGAGCAAGGUGCAGUCGCGAGUCCAUUUUCAUGAUAAACUUAGCUUUGAAGCUUUGCCACAAGCAAGCGAGGAAUUACUGUUUCCCGAGGUCAAUGUCCGUAUAACACGGUCCUUAAAACGGCGACUGAGACAACCUGCGAUUACAGAUGCAAAACGAUCAAGAAGACUUUCAAAACCAGAAGGCCAAAGUGCGAAAUCUGUUACCUAUCUCAGCUCUCCCCUUGAAGAGGGCCCAAGUACGGAACCAAAUUCCAACCCUUCGGCUUCUCACCAUGAGAACUUAACUUUGGAACCAAUUUCCGAUCCCGCGACACCCCUCCAAGAGGCGGUGAAUGAGUUCUAUCUUAGAGGACGACAUCCUUACUCGAGUAGUGCAAAGGUUUCUAGGUGCUCAAAUUGCAAGCGUCCAUGCUCACCUCAGGCAAUGGUCGACUAUAAAACCAGUGUUGUGAGCUCAAAAGCAACUACUGAGCUCGUGGUGGAGAGAGCACUGAAGAUGGAGCAGGAAGAUUGUUCACCGUUGGAAUUUCAGAACCCUGCAAAAACCUGUGGGACUACUUCAUUG